AUUGAACGCUGGCGGCAGGCCUAACACAUGCAAGUCGAGCGGAUGAAGGGAGCUUGCUCCUGGAUUCAGCGGCGGACGGGUGAGUAAUGCCUAGGAAUCUGCCUGGUAGUGGGGGAUAACGUCCGGAAACGGGCGCUAAUACCGCAUACGGCCUGAGGGAGAAAGUGGGGGGUCUUCGGACCUUACGCUAUCAGAUGAGCCUAGGUCGGAUUAGCUAGUUGGUGGGGUAAAGGCCUACCAAGGCGACGAUCCGUAACUGGUCUGAGAGGAUGAUCAGUGACACUGGAACUGAGACACGGUCCAGACUCCUACGGGAGGCAGCAGUGGGGAAUAUUGGACAAUGGGCGAAAGCCUGAUCCAGCCAUGCCGCGUGUGUGAAGAAGGUCUUCGGAUUGUAAAGCACUUUAAGUUGGGAGGAAGGGCAGUAAGUUAAUACCUUGCUGUUUUGACGUUACCAACAGAAUAAGCACCGGCUAACUUCGUG
rnacentral:rRNA from 1 species